AGUUCUAUUUCAUGUCCCGUGUCAUGAACAAGGUCACCUACGCUUACAUCGUACCCAACAACACUGAGCAAGACGCUCAGAAAAAAGUCAAGGCAGACCUAAGCAGUUUUGUGAAGCCUUUAGAGGUUCAUCUGAUAGAUACCUCUGGAGAAGAAGACGAGGUCAUCGGUGAACUGCUGUGUUUUCAGGGCUAUGCUCGGCGGCCGUGAGGCUCUCCCACCUCGAAGUGAGCACACAUAUUCAUCCAGGAUGUGUGGUGUACCGUCAUGGGCAAACUUCAAUGGACCUUCACCUCAAGCUUUUGCUCGAUCCUGCAAGAAAAGUCACACAUACCCACAUGAUGUGCGGAGAGAAAAGUCAUUGAUGAACAGACUUUAAAGUUUUGCCAGGGCUGCGCUUGGUGGUCCAGGGUCCAUCCACUUGGACUGAGAGGGCAAAAACACACACAGGCCCACGGCGAUAUUUCUGAGUACCAGAUGAGUCCACAAUAAUGUGUAUUUAAUACUGAAUUAUUGAUGAUGUUUCAUUCUUGCUUUGAAAAAUAAAAGGAACAAACAAAAUGUAACCCAACA